rnacentral:tRNA from 1 species
UACCCUUUUAGUAUAAAUAGUACAGUUGACUUCCAAUCAAUCAGCUUCGGUAUACCCCGAAAAAGAGUAA